rnacentral:rRNA from 1 species
GAUGAACGCUGGCGGCGUGCCUAAUACAUGCAAGUCGAGCGAACGGACGAGAAGCUUGCUUCUCUGAUGUUAGCGGCGGACGGGUGAGUAACACGUGGAUAACCUACCUAUAAGACUGGGAUAACUUCGGGAAACCGGAGCUAAUACCGGAUAAUAUUAUGAACCGCUUGGUUCAAAAGUGAAAGACGGUCUUCCUGUCACUUAUAGAUGGAUCCGCGCUGCAUUAGCUAGUUGGUAAGGUAACGGCUUACCAAGGCAACGAUGCAUAGCCGACCUGAGAGGGUGAUCGGCCACACUGGAACUGAGACACGGUCCAGACUCCUACGGGAGGCAGCAGUAGGGAAUCUUCCGCAAUGGGCGAAAGCCUGACGGAGCAACGCCGCGUGAGUGAUGAAGGUCUUCGGAUCGUAAAACUCUGUUAUUAGGGAAGAACAUAUGUGUAAGUAACUGUGCACAUCUUGACGGUACCUAAUCAGAAAGCCACGGCUAACUACGUG